CUGAAAGACGGCAAGAAGAUGAAUUAAUUUGCUGCGGUCACAUUUUGAUUGCGCUAUCGGAUCGUCUAUAAGAUUUAUACACAAAUACUACGUCGGCAAAGGAAAUUUGAAAUGCUUUGGAGAGUAAGUAUAAAGCGGAAUAAGAAGGUACUAAGAAAUUUUUAACUUCAAAGUACUUUGAUUUUAAAUUUUUAGAUAAUAUUCCCAUUCUUCCCCAAGUACAUGAGUUACAAGUUAUUGUCAACAAAUUAAAAGCGGUAAAGAUUGAAAUUUCGGAGACCUUUCAAGUGGGGGCUAUAAUUGCUAAACUCCCGGGGCUUGGAAAG
rnacentral:lncRNA from 1 species